AUACGGAGGAUCCGAGCGUUAUCCGGAUUUAUUGGGUUUAAAGGGAGCGUAGGUGGACAGUUAAGUCAGUUGUGAAAGUUUGCGGCUCAACCGUAAAAUUGCAGUUGAUACUGGCUGUCUUGGGUACAGUAGAGGUGGGCGGAAUUUGUGGGGGAGCGGGGAAAUGCUUAGAUAUCACGAAGAACUCCGAUUGCGAAGGCAGCUCACUGGACUGCAACUGACACUGAUGCUCGAAAGUGUGGGUAUCAAACAGGAUUAGAUACCCUGGUAGUCCACACAGUAAACGAUGAAUACUCGCUGUUUGCGAUAUACAGUAAGCGGCCAAGCGGAAGCAUUAAGUAUUCCACCUGGGGAGUACGCCGGCAACGGUGAAACUCAAAUGAAUUGACGGG
rnacentral:rRNA from 1 species